AUGGAGUACAGACAAGCCCGUGGCAGUUUGAAAGGCAGAUGCAAUGUUCUCUGCUCUGCGAUCCCUGCUGUCAAGAGUCUGCUGUGUGAGUAUGUGGGCCAGUCUUCCUUUAUCAGAAUUGCGACAGCGGCUGGGCACUUGCUUAUCAGCCCAUCUGCCAGCCCCCAGCAAAAUCACACAAGUGUUUCAGAGGCUGAUGCUGAGGCCAGUACUAAGAUAAUGAGCUCAGAUAAUGAGGCACCACUUCCCCCUGGAUAUCUUAGUUUUACAAAAUGUUGUGAUGAGAAAGUACUAUUUUGGCCUAAUGGAAGUAUUGCCCAUAAAAUUUGAGGCGGAGAUAAUUCCCUCAAAGAAAAUAAGUUUUUCACAAGCUGGAAAAUUCUCGUAGAAAGAUGUAAUCUCCAAACUGAAAGGCAGGAUUAUCAGUCAUUUGGUUCAACCUCUAUGAUGUAUAAAUCAUUUCUAGAACAUUCCUGUCAAGUGUUAUCUAAUCUCAAUUUGAAACCCUCCAGGGAUAGAAACAGAAGCAGUCAUUCUGGUUUGUUAGAAGCAUAUUUAGAAAAGCAAGUAAUCAGGAUGGCAAUAACCAUUCCAAAAAAUGUUCCAUGAGAAAGAGGGUAACAGGAAACCCGUCACCACCCCCAUUUCACCCUCCACGAUUGACUGAAAUCUCCUCUUUCCUUGAUGUCGAUUUGGUACAAAGCUAGUUUAGGGGCCUUCUGAAAGAAAGGAGGUCUAGGAUAUCCGACAGCUUCUUCUUGAGAUUCCAAAAUAGGGGAAUUUUUUUUUUUUAAUACGUUUUCAAAUGGCUUAGAUCAAGACUUAGGGGCAGAACAUGGCAACAAUACCUCCGGAGAAAAAAUUCCACAAUGGAAAGAGCUGGCCUCUGCGUGUGGGUGGGUAGGUGGGAGCUGGGAAUGUUUGUCUUGGGGCUAGAAGGUGUGUGUUCCAGAUGAGCAUUAGAAUCAAGAGGACAGGACUUUCCCCAAUCUGGGCAUUAAUGGAGGUCAGCACAUUGUGGGGUACAUCUGGCAAUGGGAGUGGGAAACACGGGUGGGGGACACUGCGCACUCAAACCGAAGGUAUCUAAACUCUGCCUACAUGUACAUUCAGUCCUUGUUCUUUAUUUUGAGACCAUGAAGAUCUGUCUGCAGAAUGGCAGUCAUUCAAGAAUUUGAUGAUGGCCUUACACUGACACCUCCUAUUCAUUCUGAACUUCCUCAACCCUUUCUUCCAGGACAUUCUUCCCAGUGACGCAGUCUCAGUACAGUCCUUCUUCAAUCAAUCCUUUACUUAAAUUUCUUUACUUCUAUACUUAAAAUCCUUGCUUAAGUAUUGUUCUACAGUCCAAAUCACAACAUGUAAAAAAAUACCUUUGAUCAUUGGGAACAUUUGGAACGUGAUUAGAGAACAUGCUAUUUUAUCUAUAGUCUAGCUUACCUAACAGGGCAGAUGCUAUCACUGCCCUACCCAUAUUCCUUGGCACUCACUUUUACAGUUCAUGCCCCGGGCUUUCUUCUGCAAAAACCUGCAACUUUUACUUGAGGGCUUUCUCUCAGCCCAGGUGUGAGCAGGCUGGAAGUGCCAACACAUUAUUAUCUCUGGAAGCAGCCCUCAGGUGAUGAUGAUGGGAGCUGGAGAUGAAAUACUUGAGCUUCCCCCAGUGGAGGGUGCAGUUCUGGUCAGGUGUCACACUGUUUUCCAAAGUUGCCCAGCAGGGCUGGGCCCCAGAUGCCCACGUGGUAACUUGCUGGAUAAUGCACCAUUUUUCCUAUCUCACUGCUCACUCCCCUCCAGUGUUUCCUGGGACGCCCCCAAAUAAAACUACAUGCUUCAGGACCUGCCUCUCGAGG
rnacentral:lncRNA from 1 species